CUCAGAUCCAUCUCCAAGUCUUGAAACAAAUCUGAACAUUUUUUCUUUGAAUGCAAAAUACAAAAUGUCUGUGAAAGCUCAACUCUUAGUCACCAGGGAAAAACACAGGUUUUUUUGGGUAUCAGAACCUCCACUGCAGUGUACAAACUGAAGCGUGCUAUUUUAGUUUGUCUUCAUUAAUGCUACAAUGAGCAUUUUUCUUAUUAAAGAGGGAAAAAAAAUUAAAGGAGUGCUUGUACAAUAAAACAUUCUCACACAGCUAUCUGUGCACCAUAAGCUGUUUGUAAAAUAGGGACUCAUGGCCAGAAGUAUGAUAAAACUCAUCAAAAGCAGUUUCAUCCUGUGGCAAAAUGUCUUUUGUCACAACUAAAUAAAUGUUUUGGCAGAACAAGAAUGACAAGACAACCAGACCCCAGGGCAAAGCUGUGAUGAAGGCAGGAGACCUUGUGGAUAUAAAGUAGCUGCCAGCCAAAGAUGGGGAGUGUCUUGUCCAAAGUCCACUUCCAUGUGGAAUAACUUAUCCUGACCUUAAAUGUAUCCCAGCUAUGAAACGAGUCCUUUACUUAUUCGGUGACUUGAGAGUAUCUGCAUUUCAUGCUUUGCAGGGCUUUGCUUUUACAGUUUUUAAAAUUCUUGUUCUCCAUACUAAGCAAAAGUCUAAGCGAAAGCCUGUCACAUUUUAAGCAGCGGCUGUUUAAAAUUCCAGUCAACGGUUGACUUUUGAUGUGAUAUUUUUGCUCUGAAAUUCCACUAUAUAACUACUUACUGCACUAUAUCAAGUAAAUGCUUGCUGGACACUUCAAACCUAAUCAUUUUGAUCCACCUUAAUCAAGAUUUGUCUAAUCUGUCCAACUCCUUGGCAAAUGCUACAGCCAGCAAUACUAAUAUGUUAAUGUAUAUAGCUCUGCUCUAUGUAAUGCUGUCUCAGUUUAGGAUCUUCAAGAAAAAUACAAGAAAUACACUGCAUGGUCUGCCUUCUGUUGGUGUUUCAACUCUACUGGCUUCAUCGAGGCUCUCAGACCAGGGAGGAAUAACAGGAUUUGUGCAAAGACAGGUUUCCAGCACACUGGCUGACUGCCCCUGCCCAUGGAUCUCACUGCCUACAGCUUAGGCAAAAUGAAGAGUUUGGCUCCUGCCUGGAAUGAGGUAUGAGAAUUAUUUCUAAUUACUUGGUGACUGGGCUGUCUCCUACCUUUCACAACAAAUUCUCAACUCCUCCUUCACAGCAAACUUCCCCCCUGCAUACAUUACUUAUGGCACUGUCAGGGGUGCAUUUAUAAAGCAGUUCUCACUCUUAAAAGCACCAAGCAAUACUCAGUGGAUAGUUAUACUUCAAGCAUAUUUGGAAGUGAAAUUUUUUGUAGAUGAAUUUGUGUGGCGAAAAUUUCGUACCCAUCCUGCCAUCCAGUAAGUGCAAGUUCUGGCUUUCUGGUAAGGGGUUUUGUUUUGCUGACACAUUUACAGAGCUGAGAGGCAGCUGAAGACCCCACUCUGUUGGCUGAUGGCUUUCUCCUUUCUUCUGUAGCACACUUUUCUCUCUAGUGUAAAACAAUUCAAACUGUUGCUGAAGCUAAUUUUAACUAACAUGGCUUACGUGCAUUGAAAUGGAGGAGAGUUAGUUGCCCAUCUUGGCAUUACUGAG
rnacentral:lncRNA from 1 species